AACGAACGCUGGCGGCAUGCCUAACACAUGCAAGUCGAACGAGACCUUCGGGUCUAGUGGCGCACGUCUGCGUAACGCGUGGGAACCUGCCCUUAGGUUCGGAAUAACUCCCCGAAAGGGGUGCUAAUACCGGAUAAUGUCUUCGGACCAAAGAUUUAUCGCCUUUGGAUGGGCCCGCGUUGGAUUAGCUAGUUGGUAGGGUAAAAGCCUACCAAGGCGACGAUCCAUAGCUGGUCUGAGAGGAUGAUCAGCCACACUGGGACUGAGACACGGCCCAGACUCCUACGGGAGGGAGCGGUGGGGAAUAUUGGACAAUGGGCGAAAGCCUGAUCCAGCAGUGCCGCGUGAGUGAUGAAGGCCUUAGGGUUGUAAAGCUCUUUUACCCGAGAUGAUAAUGACAGUACCGGGAGAAUAAGCUCCGGCUAACUCCGUG
rnacentral:rRNA from 1 species